AACGAACGCUGGCGGCAGGCUUAACACAUGCAAGUCGAACGCCCCGCAAGGGGAGUGGCAGACGGGUGAGUAACGCGUGGGAAUCUACCCAGUUCUACGGAACAACACAGGGAAACUUGUGCUAAUACCGUAUACGCCCUAAGGGGGAAAGAUUUAUCGGAAUUGGAUGAGGCCCGCGUUGGAUUAGCUAGUUGGUGGGGUAAUGGCCUACCAAGGCGACGAUCCAUAGCUGGUCUGAGAGGAUGAUCAGCCACACUGGAACUGAGACACGGCCCAGACUCCUACNNNNGGCAGCAGUGNGGANUAUUGGACAAUGGGCGCAAGCCUGAUCCAGCCAUGCCGCGUGAGUGAUGAAGGCCUUAGGGUUGUAAAGCUCUUUCAGUAGNGANGAUAAUGACGGUACCUACAGAAGAAGCCCCGGCUAACUUCGUGCCAGCCGCCGCCGUAA
rnacentral:rRNA from 1 species